rnacentral:rRNA from 1 species
GACGAACGCUGGCGGCGUGCCUAAUACAUGCAGGUUGAGCGCUGAAGGUUGGUACUUGUACCAACUGGAUGAGCAGCGAACGGGUGAGUAACGCGUGGGGAAUCUGCCUUUGAGCGGGGGACAACAUUUGGAAACGAAUGCUAAUACCGCAUAAAAACUUUAAACACAAGUUUUAAGUUUGAAAGAUGCAAUUGCAUCACUCAAAGAUGAUCCCGCGUUGUAUUAGCUAGUUGGUGAGGUAAAGGCUCACCAAGGCGAUGAUACAUAGCCGACCUGAGAGGGUGAUCGGCCACAUUGGGACUGAGACACGGCCCAAACUCCUACGGGAGGCAGCAGUAGGGAAUCUUCGGCAAUGGACGAAAGUCUGACCGAGCAACGCCGCGUGAGUGAAGAAGGUCUUCGGAUCGUAAAACUCUGUUGGUAGAGAAGAACGUUGGUGAGAGUGGAAAGCUCAUCAAGUGACGGUAACUACCCAGAAAGGGACGGCUAACUACGUG